rnacentral:lncRNA from 1 species
GGGAACACACCAGCUAAAGGGUGAACCUCACCUACGGAAACGUAGUGUUAGACGAGGGAUGUACUCAAAAGUGAACCCCACCUACGGAAGAACGUAGGUUAGACGGGGAACACAUCGGCAAAAGUGAACCCCACCUACGGAAGAACGUAGGUUAGACGGGGAACACAUCGGCAAAAGUAAGCCCCACCUACGGAAGAACGUAGGUUAGACGGGGGACACGUCGGCUAAACACACACCCCAUUCUACAAAAAUGUAGACAGAGGGGCAAGUGUCCAAGAGUAAACCUCACCUACGGAAGAACGUAGGUUAGACGAGGGACGUACUCAAGAACAAUCCUCACCUACGGAUGAACGUAGGUAGACGAGGAGUCACACUUAGCUUCAGUCGCAGAAAGGCGAGCAAAAGGAGGGGGCAAGUAUUCAAA